rnacentral:rRNA from 1 species
CAGGACGAACGCUGGCGGCGUGCCUAACACAUGCAAGUCGAGCGAGGAGAUCCUCGGGAUGAUCCUAGCGGCGGACGGGUGAGUAACACGUGGGCAACCUGCCUCAUAGAGAGGUAAUAGCCUUCCGAAAGGGAGAUUAAUACCUCAUAACAUUGCAGUUUCGCAUGGAACAGCAAUUAAAGGAGUAAUCCGCUAUGAGAUGGGCCCGCGGCGCAUUAGCUAGUUGGUGAGGUAACGGCUCACCAAGGCGACGAUGCGUAGCCGACCUGAGAGGGUGAUCGGCCACAUUGGGACUGAGACACGGCCCAGACUCCUACGGGAGGCAGCAGUGGGGAAUAUUGCACAAUGGGGGAAACCCUGAUGCAAGCAACGCCGCGUGAGUGAUGACGGCCUUCGGGUUGUAAAGCUCUGUCUUCAGGGACGAUAAUGACGGUACCUGAGGAGGAAGCCACGGCUAACUACGUGCCAGCCGCAGC